UGGGGCAGGAAUUGCUUCUCAGCAUGGAGCUUCACAUGUGAGAACUUGAGGAAGAGACAUAUGCUCUGUUGUUAGCUCUUCCCUAACUUUCAGAAGAAACUGAGUUCUGAGAGGAGACGAGAGCAGAGAUUAAACUACUCCUUCAGAAGUUCAUUGGUUUUGUUGGUUGGAUGUUUUUAAGGAUUCCUCAACUGUGGAUUGGAGUUGAGAAGUAAAAAGAUAACUCACUCACACUGUCCAACAGGAUACUUGGAGCUACUAAUAAGUAAGAAAAUAUCCAGAGAAGAUACCGAAAGAUGAGAGGAGGCAUAAAUAACCUGUGACCUGAAAAAGAUCUGUAUUUGAUUCAUGAAAAAUUGGAGUGAAGUAAGAUAAAUGGACAAUAAGGUGAUUAUCAGUUUCAUGGAACAUAUAUAUAUCUGAAGAAAUACACUAUUUAAAUGCUUCUCACUGAAAAAUUCUCUUAGUAACUAGCUUUUCAGUGAUUUAUAUUUAUGAG
rnacentral:lncRNA from 1 species